rnacentral:lncRNA from 1 species
CGGUGGUGAGUGGAACACCUUUGCGGAUGAUUAUCAGCUUCAUGCUGGAGACCGCAUAGAAUUUGAACUACCACACAAGGGUCUCAAUCUCGAAAUACAAACAUAUCACAAUGACAAAAGGUUGCUUCCAUUACCCCACGUUGGUACGUAUUUAAUAUUACAAACUUAUCUUCCUUGGCUGUAUUUUGAUAUGCAUGCAUCGAACUGAAUAAUAUUAACCCGUGUUACAUAAAACUUUAUCUAACUUUAAAAUCUUGUUCUUUUUCUAGCUCUCGAUGACCUUUCUUCUGACGAUUUCGACCAUGUUCACUGCUGUGUCUACUCUAAGGAUAUUGAGCUUACCUACAACCAGACACGAUUCUUUCUACAACGCCUUUUCGG